GGAGAGGGGAGGCUCCACAGCAUAUUAUCCAAAGGCGAGGCGGAUGGUUCUUUGUCCAAUAGUGAGAGAGGGGAGAGAGGGGCCGUUGGUCUUCUCUUUUUGUGUUUUACGUUUUUACUUCUCAUGUUGAGAUGUUGUAACGGCACUUCAUACCUCCUCGGCUGCUGUUGUCUUCACAAUGCACAGAACAUGUUCCAUGUCAUGUCAUCUUGCUCUUCCCACACAACCCUUCUGUGGGGCAAUACUGGUUUUGGAAUUGCCAUUUUAGAAGUGAGCAAACAAGACUCAGAUCAAGUGACCCAGCUCAAGUCUCAUGGGCAGGAAGUGGACAAACCAAGGUCUGAACCAAACCUAAAAACAAGAACGUCUGCCCUCUUCCUUCUUAACCAAGACUGAGAUGAGGACAAGUCAGACCCUUCAGACCCAUCGUUUCAGGGACCAGCAGCUCCAGCCUGAAUGAGAAGCACGUCCUCCUGGGAGUUACAUCAGCAGCCUGGCCUUCCAUCUUCCUCCUCUAAAGAAACGUCCCUGCCACCCUGAGCAUCAAGCCCUCGGGUUCCUAAAGGCCGAGGCGCUUCUUCUCAUUUACUUCCCUUGAGGAAGAAAGACCAGCCCAUCCACCCUCAUUUCCCACCGAAGGGCACCGCAAAUAAAGUUUGCCCACGCAACCAGGCCACCACCAUUAAUUUCUCUCUGCCCUGCUCUUACAUUCUCCUCAAGGUUUUCAAUCCCCUAGACAGGCUCCCUUCCCUCUUUUCUUUCCUUCCUCCAGCCCCCCUUUUCACCUCCCUCCACCAUUGUUUGAGGUUAAGAAGCAUGCUAUGGUGUUCUAUAAAUUACUUGGCAAGAGUAGACGACAAAAGCAAAAUAUAAUUCAGAUUAAAGUCAUCCUCCCGCUGAAAUGAUAGUUUCUUAAAUAAAUGGCGAUGCU
rnacentral:lncRNA from 1 species